GCACCAGACCGGGCCCCUCUGACGGUUCCCAUGAACCGUGAUGUCGGACUGGAUAU
rfam:Mesorhizobium sp. Root157 contig_9, whole genome shotgun sequence.